AGCAAAACUAAAAAAAGAGAAACAGCUUUUCAAGUGCCUUUCUGCAGUUUUUUCCAAGAGCGCAAGGUGGUUA